AGGGUUCGAUUCUGGCUCAGGAUGAACGCUGGCGGCGUGCUUAACACAUGCAAGUCGAACGGGAUCCAUCAGGCUUUGCUUGGUGGUGAGAGUGGCGAACGGGUGAGUAAUGCGUGACCGACCUGCCCCAUACACCGGAAUAGCUCCUGGAAACGGGUGGUAAUGCCGGAUGCUCCAGUUGAUCGCAUGGUCUUCUGGGAAAGCUUUCGCGGUAUGGGAUGGGGUCGCGUCCUAUCAGCUUGACGGCGGGGUAACGGCCCACCGUGGCUUCGACGGGUAGCCGGCCUGAGAGGGCGACCGGCCACAUUGGGACUGAGAUACGGCCCAGACUCCUACGGGAGGCAGCAGUGGGGAAUAUUGCACAAUGGGCGCAAGCCUGAUGCAGCGACGCCGCGUGCGGGAUGACGGCCUUCGGGUUGUAAACCGCUUUUGAUCGGGAGCAAGCCUUCGGGUGAGUGUACCUUUCGAAUAAGCACCGGCUAACUACGUGCCAGCAGCCGCGGUAAUACGUAGGGUGCAAGCGUUAUCCGGAAUUAUUGGGCGUAAAGGGCUCGUAGGCGGUUCGUCGCGUCCGGUGUGAAAGUCCAUCGCUUAACGGUGGAUCCGCGCCGGGUACGGGCGGGCUUGAGUGCGGUAGGGGAGACUGGAAUUCCCGGUGUAACGGUGGAAUGUGUAGAUAUCGGGAAGAACACCAAUGGCGAAGGCAGGUCUCUGGGCCGUUACUGACGCUGAGGAGCGAAAGCGUGGGGAGCGAACAGGAUUAGAUACCCUGGUAGUCCACGCCGUAAACGGUGGAUGCUGGAUGUGGGGCCCGUUCCACGGGUUCCGUGUCGGAGCUAACGCGUUAAGCAUCCCGCCUGGGGAGUACGGCCGCAAGGCUAAAACUCAAAGAAAUUGACGGGGGCCCGCACAAGCGGCGGAGCAUGCGGAUUAAUUCGAUGCAACGCGAAGAACCUUACCUGGGCUUGACAUGUUCCCGA
rnacentral:rRNA from 1 species